GGGUUGUGAGGUUAAGCGACUAAGCGUACACGGUGGAUGCCCUGGCAGUCAGAGGCGAUGAAGGACGUGCUAAUCUGCGAUAAGCGUCGGUAAGGUGAUAUGAACCGUUAUAACCGGCGAUUUCCGAAUGGGGAAACCCAGUGUGAUUCGUCACACUAUCAUUAACUGAAUCCAUAGGUUAAUGAGGCGAACCGGGGGAACUGAAACAUCUAAGUACCCCGAGGAAAAGAAAUCAACCGAGAUUCCCCCAGUAGCGGCGAGCGAACGGGGAGCAGCCCAGAGCCUGAAUCAGUGUGUGUGUUAGUGGAAGCGUCUGGAAAGGCGCGCGAUACAGGGUGACAGCCCCGUACACAAAAAUGCACAUACUGUGAGCUCGAUGAGUAGGGCGGGACACGUGGUAUCCUGUCUGAAUAUGGGGGGACCAUCCUCCAAGGCUAAAUACUCCUGACUGACCGAUAGUGAACCAGUACCGUGAGGGAAAGGCGAAAAGAACCCCGGCGAGGGGAGUGAAAAAGAACCUGAAACCGUGUACGUACAAGCAGUGGGAGCACGCUUAGGCGUGUGACUGCGUACCUUUUGUAUAAUGGGUCAGCGACUUAUAUUCUGUAGCAAGGUUAACCGAAUAGGGGAGCCGAAGGGAAACCGAGUCUUAACUGGGCGUUAAGUUGCAGGGUAUAGACCCGAAACCCGGUGAUCUAGCCAUGGGCAGGUUGAAGGUUGGGUAACACUAACUGGAGGACCGAACCGACUAAUGUUGAAAAAUUAGCGGAUGACUUGUGGCUGGGGGUGAAAGGCCAAUCAAACCGGGAGAUAGCUGGUUCUCCCCGAAAGCUAUUUAGGUAGCGCCUCGUGAAUUCAUCUCCGGGGGUAGAGCACUGUUUCGGCAAGGGGGUCAUCCCGACUUACCAACCCGAUGCAAACUGCGAAUACCGGAGAAUGUUAUCACGGGAGACACACGGCGGGUGCUAACGUCCGUCGUGAAGAGGGAAACAACCCAGACCGCCAGCUAAGGUCCCAAAGUCAUGGUUAAGUGGGAAACGAUGUGGGAAGGCCCAGACAGCCAGGAUGUUGGCUUAGAAGCAGCCAUCAUUUAAAGAAAGCGUAAUAGCUCACUGGUCGAGUCGGCCUGCGCGGAAGAUGUAACGGGGCUAAACCAUGCACCGAAGCUGCGGCAGCGACGCUUAUGCGUUGUUGGGUAGGGGAGCGUUCUGUAAGCCUGCGAAGGUGUGCUGUGAGGCAUGCUGGAGGUAUCAGAAGUGCGAAUGCUGACAUAAGUAACGAUAAAGCGGGUGAAAAGCCCGCUCGCCGGAAGACCAAGGGUUCCUGUCCAACGUUAAUCGGGGCAGGGUGAGUCGACCCCUAAGGCGAGGCCGAAAGGCGUAGUCGAUGGGAAACAGGUUAAUAUUCCUGUACUUGGUGUUACUGCGAAGGGGGGACGGAGAAGGCUAUGUUGGCCGGGCGACGGUUGUCCCGGUUUAAGCGUGUAGGCUGGUUUUCCAGGCAAAUCCGGAAAAUCAAGGCUGAGGCGUGAUGACGAGGCACUACGGUGCUGAAGCAACAAAUGCCCUGCUUCCAGGAAAAGCCUCUAAGCAUCAGGUAACAUCAAAUCGUACCCCAAACCGACACAGGUGGUCAGGUAGAGAAUACCAAGGCGCUUGAGAGAACUCGGGUGAAGGAACUAGGCAAAAUGGUGCCGUAACUUCGGGAGAAGGCACGCUGAUAUGUAGGUGAAGUCCCUCGCGGAUGGAGCUGAAAUCAGUCGAAGAUACCAGCUGGCUGCAACUGUUUAUUAAAAACACAGCACUGUGCAAACACGAAAGUGGACGUAUACGGUGUGACGCCUGCCCGGUGCCGGAAGGUUAAUUGAUGGGGUUAGCGCAAGCGAAGCUCUUGAUCGAAGCCCCGGUAAACGGCGGCCGUAACUAUAACGGUCCUAAGGUAGCGAAAUUCCUUGUCGGGUAAGUUCCGACCUGCACGAAUGGCGUAAUGAUGGCCAGGCUGUCUCCACCCGAGACUCAGUGAAAUUGAACUCGCUGUGAAGAUGCAGUGUACCCGCGGCAAGACGGAAAGACCCCGUGAACCUUUACUAUAGCUUGACACUGAACAUUGAGCCUUGAUGUGUAGGAUAGGUGGGAGGCUUUGAAGUGUGGACGCCAGUCUGCAUGGAGCCGACCUUGAAAUACCACCCUUUAAUGUUUGAUGUUCUAACGUGGACCCGUAAUCCGGGUUGCGGACAGUGUCUGGUGGGUAGUUUGACUGGGGCGGUCUCCUCCUAAAGAGUAACGGAGGAGCACGAAGGUUGGCUAAUCCUGGUCGGACAUCAGGAGGUUAGUGCAAUGGCAUAAGCCAGCUUGACUGCGAGCGUGACGGCGCGAGCAGGUGCGAAAGCAGGUCAUAGUGAUCCGGUGGUUCUGAAUGGAAGGGCCAUCGCUCAACGGAUAAAAGGUACUCCGGGGAUAACAGGCUGAUACCGCCCAAGAGUUCAUAUCGACGGCGGUGUUUGGCACCUCGAUGUCGGCUCAUCACAUCCUGGGGCUGAAGUAGGUCCCAAGGGUAUGGCUGUUCGCCAUUUAAAGUGGUACGCGAGCUGGGUUUAGAACGUCGUGAGACAGUUCGGUCCCUAUCUGCCGUGGGCGCUGGAGAACUGAGGGGGGCUGCUCCUAGUACGAGAGGACCGGAGUGGACGCAUCACUGGUGUUCGGGUUGUCAUGCCAAUGGCACUGCCCGGUAGCUAAAUGCGGAAGAGAUAAGUGCUGAAAGCAUCUAAGCACGAAACUUGCCCCGAGAUGAGUUCUCCCUGACUCCUUGAGAGUCCUGAAGGAACGUUGAAGACGACGACGUUGAUAGGCCGGGUGUGUAAGCGCAGCGAUGCGUUGAGCUAACCGGUACUAAUGAACCGUGAGGCUUAACCUUACAACGCCGAAGGUGUUU
rnacentral:rRNA from 1 species